AUCUACGGCCAUGCCACCCUGAAUGUGCCCAAUCCCGUCUGAUCUCAGAAGCUAAGCAGGGUCGGGCCUGGUUACUAGUUGGAUGGGAGACCACCUAGGGAGAUCCAGGUACCGUAGGCG
rnacentral:rRNA from 1 species